UGGGGAAUCUUGCACAAUGGGGGAAACCCUGAUGCAGCGACGCCGCGUGAGCGAUGAAGGUUUUCGAAUCGUAAAGCUCUGUCCUAUGGGAAGAUAAUGACGGUACCAUGGGAGGAAGCCCCGGCUAACUACGUGCCAGCAGCCGCGGUAAUACGUAGGGGGCGAGCGUUGUCCGGAAUUACUGGGCGUAACGGGAUCGCAGGCGGCAUGGCCAGCCCGAUGUAAAAGGCGAAGGCUCAACCUUCGUAAGCAUCGGAAACUGUCAAGCUUGAGUGUAUGAGAGGCAAGUGGACUUCCUCGUGUAGCGGUGGAAUGCGUAGAUAUUAGGAGGAAUACCGGUGGCGAAGGCGGCUUGCUGGACUUCAACUGACGCUGAGGAACGAAAGCGUGGGUAGCAAACAGG
rnacentral:rRNA from 1 species